rnacentral:rRNA from 1 species
UACGUAGGGUGCGAGCGUUAAUCGGAAUUACUGGGCGUAAAGCGUGCGCAGGCGGUUUUGUAAGCCAGAUGUGAAAUCCCCGGGCUCAACCUGGGAACUGCAUUUGUGACUGUAGAGCUGGAGUACGGCAGAGGGGGAUGGAAUUCCGCGUGUAGCAGUGAAAUGCGUAGAUAUGCGGAGGAACACCGAUGGCGAAGGCAAUCCCCUGGGCCUGUACUGACGCUCAUGCACGAAAGCGUGGGGAGCAAACAGG